rnacentral:rRNA from 1 species
GAUGAACGCUGGCGGCGUGCCUAAUACAUGCAAGUCGAGCGAACAGACGAGGAGCUUGCUCCUCUGACGUUAGCGGCGGACGGGUGAGUAACACGUGGAUAACCUACCUAUAAGACUGGGAUAACUUCGGGAAACCGGAGCUAAUACCGGAUAAUAUCUUGAACCGCAUGGUUCAAUAGUGAAAGACGGUUUUGCUGUCACUUAUAGAUGGAUCCGCGCCGCAUUAGCUAGUUGGUAAGGUAACGGCUUACCAAGGCAACGAUGCGUAGCCGACCUGAGAGGGUGAUCGGCCACACUGGAACGGAGACACGGUCCAGACUCCUACGGGAGGCAGCAGUAGGGAAUCUUCCGCAAUGGGCGAAAGCCUGACGGAGCAACGCCGCGUGAGUGAUGAAGGUCUUCGGAUCGUAAAACUCUGUUAUUAGGGAAGAACAAAUGUGUAAGUAACUAUGCACGUCUUGACGGUACCUAAUCAGAAAGCCACGGCUAACUACGUG